rnacentral:rRNA from 1 species
UACGAGGGGAGCAAGCGUUGUUCGGAAUUACUGGGCGUAAAGCGUGCGCAGGCGGUGAUGUAAGACAGAUGUGAAAUCCCCGGGCUCAACCUGGGAACUGCAUUUGUGACUGCAGGGCUAGAGUACGGUAGAGGGGGAUGGAAUUCCGCGUGUAGCAGUGAAAUGCGUAGAUAUGCGGAGGAACACCGAUGGCGAAGGCAAUCCCCUGGACCUGUACUGACGCUCAUGCACGAAAGCGUGGGGAGCAAACAGG